AGGUGCGAUCAUACCAGUGUUAAUGCCCCGGAUCCCGUCAGAACUCUGCAGUGAAGCAAGCUUGGGCUAGAGUAGUACUGGAAUGGGUGACCUCCUGGGAAGUCCUAGUGUUGCACCCU
rnacentral:rRNA from 1 species